CAAUAGCGUAUAUUAAAGUUGUUGCAGUUAAAAAGCUCGUAGUUGGAUUUGUGGAGUACGGUGUGUUCCGGGCACUUGUUGUCUGAGUAACCUGCUGUUGCCAUCCUUGGGUGGAACCUGUGUGGCAUUAGGUUGUCGUGCAGGGGAUGCCCAUCAUUUACUGUGAAAAAAUUAGAGUGUUCAAAGCAGGCUUAUGCCGUUGAAUAUAUUAGCAUGGAAUAAUGAGAUAGGACUUUUUUGCUAUUUUGUUGGUUUGCGCAAAGAGGUAAUGAUUAAUAGGGACAGUUGGGGGUAUUCGUAUUCCAUUGUCAGAGGUGAAAUUCUUGGAUUUUUGGAAGACGAACUACUGCGAAAGCAUUUACCAAGGAUGUUUUCAUUAA
rnacentral:rRNA from 1 species